rnacentral:rRNA from 1 species
UACGUAGGCAGCGAGCGUUGUUCGGAGUUACUGGGCGUAAAGGGUGUGUAGGCGGUUGUUUAAGUUUGGUGUGAAAUCUCCCGGCUCAACUGGGAGGGUGCGCCGAAUACUGAAUGACUAGAGUGCGGGAGAGGAAAGUGGAAUUCCUGGUGUAGCGGUGAAAUGCGUAGAUAUCAGGAGGAACACCGGUGGUGUAGACGGCUUUCUGGACCGUAACUGACGCUGAGGCGCGAAAGCAUGGGGAGCGAACAGG